rnacentral:rRNA from 1 species
UGGGGAAUAUUGCGCAAUGGGGGGAACCCUGACGCAGCCAUGCCGCGUGAAUGAAGAAGGCCUUAGGGUUGUAAAGUUCUUUCGGUAUUGAGGAAGGUUGAUGUGUUAAUAGCACAUCAAAUUGACGUUAAAUACAGAAGAAGCACCGGCUAACUCCGUGCCAGCAGCCGCGGUAAUACGGAGGGUGCGAGCGUUAAUCGGAAUAACUGGGCGUAAAGGGCACGCAGGCGGUUAUUUAAGUGAGGUGUGAAAGCCCCGGGCUUAACCUGGGAAUUGCAUUUCAGACUGGGUAACUAGAGUACUUUAGGGAGGGGUAGAAUUCCACAUGUAGCGGUGAAAUGCGUAGAGAUGUGGAGGAAUACCGAAGGCGAAGGCAGCCCCUUGGGAAUGUACUGACGCUCAUGUGCGAAAGCGUGGGGAGCAAACAGGAUUAGAUACCCUGGUAGUCCACGCUGUAAACGCUGUCGAUUUGGGGGUUGGGGUUUAACUCUGGCGCCCGUAGCUAACGUGAUAAAUCGACCGCCUGGGGAGUACGGCCGCAAGGUU